rnacentral:rRNA from 1 species
UGUGAGCUCGAUGAGUAGGGCGGGACACGUGGUAUCCUGUCUGAAUAUGGGGGGACCAUCCUCCAAGGCUAAAUACUCCUGACUGACCGAUAGUGAACCAGUACCGUGAGGGAAAGGCGAAAAGAACCCCGGCGAGGGGAGUGAAAAAGAACCUGAAACCGUGUACGUACAAGCAGUGGGAGCCUCUUUAUGGGGUGACUGCGUACCUUUUGUAUAAUGGGUCAGCGACUUAUAUUCUGUAGCAAGGUUAACCGAAUAGGGGAGCCGAAGGGAAACCGAGUCUUAACUGGGCGUUAAGUUGCAGGGUAUAGACCCGAAACCCGGUGAUCUAGCCAUGGGCAGGUUGAAGGUUGGGUAACACUAACUGGAGGACCGAACCGACUAAUGUUGAAAAAUUAGCGGAUGACUUGUGGCUGGGGGUGAAAGGCCAAUCAAACCGGGAGAUAGCUGGUUCUCCCCGAAAGCUAUUUAGGUAGCGCCUCGUGAAUUCAUCUCCGGGGGUAGAGCACUGUUUCGGCAAGGGGGUCAUCCCGACUUACCAACCCGAUGCAAACUGCGAAUACCGGAGAAUGUUAUCACGGGAGACACACGGCGGGUGCUAACGUCCGUCGUGAAGAGGGAAACAACCCAGACCGCCAGCUAAGGUCCCAAAGUCAUGGUUAAGUGGGAAACGAUGUGGGAAGGCCCAGACAGCCAGGAUGUUGGCUUAGAAGCAGCCAUCAUUUAAAGAAAGCGUAAUAGCUCACUGGUCGAGUCGGCCUGCGCGGAAGAUGUAACGGGGCUAAACCAUGCACCGAAGCUGCGGCAGCGACGCUGAUGCGUUGUUGGGUAGGGGAGCGUUCUGUAAGCCUGUGAAGGUGUGCUGUGAGGCAUGCUGGAGGUAUCAGAAGUGCGAAUGCUGACAUAAGUAACGAUAAAGCGGGUGAAAAGCCCGCUCGCCGGAAGACCAAGGGUUCCUGUCCAACGUUAAUCGGGGCAGGGUGAGUCGACCCCUAAGGCGAGGCCGAAAGGCGUAGUCGAUGGGAAACAGGUUAAUAUUCCUGUACUUGGUGUUACUGCGAAGGGGGGACGGAGAAGGCUAUGUUGGCCGGGCGACGGUUGUCCCGGUUUAAGCGUGUAGGCUGGUUUUCCAGGCAAAUCCGGAAAAUCAAGGCUGAGGCGUGAUGACGAGGCACUACGGUGCUGAAGCAACAAAUGCCCUGCUUCCAGGAAAAGCCUCUAAGCAUCAGGUAACAUCAAAUCGUACCCCAAACCGACACAGGUGGUCAGGUAGAGAAUACCAAGGCGCUUGAGAGAACUCGGGUGAAGGAACUAGGCAAAAUGGUGCCGUAACUUCGGGAGAAGGCACGCUGAUAUGUAGGUGAAGUCCCUCGCGGAUGGAGCUGAAAUCAGUCGAAGAUACCAGCUGGCUGCAACUGUUUAUUAAAAACACAGCACUGUGCAAACACGAAAGUGGACGUAUACGGUGUGACGCCUGCCCGGUGCCGGAAGGUUAAUUGAUGGGGUCAGCGCAAGCGAAGCUCUUGAUCGAAGCCCCGGUAAACGGCGGCCGUAACUAUAACGGUCCUAAGGUAGCGAAAUUCCUUGUCGGGUAAGUUCCGACCUGCACGAAUGGCGUAAUGAUGGCCAGGCUGUCUCCACCCGAGACUCAGUGAAAUUGAACUCGCUGUGAAGAUGCAGUGUACCCGCGGCAAGACGGAAAGACCCCGUGAACCUUUACUAUAGCUUGACACUGAACAUUGAGCCUUGAUGUGUAGGAUAGGUGGGAGGCUUAGAAGUGUGGACGCCAGUCUGCAUGGAGCCGACCUUGAAAUACCACCCUUUAAUGUUUGAUGUUCUAACGUUGACCCGU